GGGAAACAACCCUAACCAUCAUCUAAGGCCCCCAAGUAACGGCUAAGUGGGAAACGAUGUGGGAUUGCUUUGACAAUCAGGAGGUUGGCUUAGAAGCAGCCAUCCUUUAAAGAAAGCGUAACAGCUCACUGAUCAAGCGAUCCUGCGCGGAAAAUGUAACGGGGCUAAAGCCAUGCGCCGAAGAUAUGGGUUUGCAGUUUACUGCAAGCGGUAGCGGAGCGUUCCG
rnacentral:rRNA from 1 species